CGCUGUCAUUGAUUCCAACCCAAAGUGUGAAUGCGAACAAAAAUUCCUUGAAGUUCACCAUUCCAUUUUUAUCCCAGUCCAUCUCUUCAAAUCUUUUCAUUGCUAUUCUUCCAGAAGAACGUUCCCCAGAUUCGUUUAUGGCUUGAACCAUCUCAUUCUUGCUCACAUAACCAUCCUUAUUCUUGUCCAAGAACACAAAUGCAUCAACUAGUGUUUCAAAUGUGGCCUCCAAAUUUGGCAUUCCCAUCCUUGAUUUAGCAUGAAGAGCAGUAGGAUCAUGUUUAAGAAGAUAGACAAGACAGAGAAGUACAAUGAACUCGUUGAACUUCAUCCCCAUAUCACCAUUAAUAU
rnacentral:misc_RNA from 1 species